CCAUUUCCGGUCAUCAAUUGUUUCAAGCACAUAACAUUUCGAAGACAUGCAUUAAUGCUGAUGAAAGAAUACUAUUGAAAACUGUGUUAUUCUGUUAUUAAUCACUUAUUAUAACCAAACAGCUAGAGAUAAUAACCGGUUACAAGCUGCCUCACUUUACUGCUAGUAUAUGUACAUAGAUAUAAUAAACCCUAUCCUAUAUUUCUCUCAGGCCUUCACAGAAACAAUGUUAUCGUUUAGUGUAAUAAUUAAUAUUAUAUAUCAUACUGAUAAAUUAACAAUUCUUUCUGAUUGGUCGUACUCAUGCUAAUUCAAUUAGGUCAUUUGCAACUUUACGGCAUUAUAGGCUACUGUACCCAAGUAUGCAUGCAUAUGACAUAUUAUACAAGUGUUCGUAAAUAGUGUUCAAUAUCAACGACAAGUUGUAGAAAUCCUCAUUCGGUCAGAGCCUAAUCAAAACAAGAGUCAAGACUAUAAGCUAACAUAUAUUUACCUCUUGUCAAAACCACGAUUAUCUGCCAUUGCUUCACUUCACACGACAGAAUGCCUAAGCUCGAUGUUCAGCCACAAUCGAUCAGUUGUGAUAGCUCAAGCUCAGUUCAACGUUCAACAGGUUAUACGUGUAUGAAAGAGAAAUCAUAUUAUGUCGAGUUUUAACAUUUGAGUAUGACGUCAUUCAUUUGUGAUGACUAGUUAUAAGUAGUUUUAAUGCUGCAUUCCUGCAAGUUUCAGAAAGACAAAUUCUUAACAUAUAUUAAUUUUUUUUAUUUCCGAAUUUGUUUUGACGUUCAUGUCAGAGCCACACGCCCACAGAAUUAAAAACAUUACCAAUUAUCACCAAUUAUGAUUAUAAUGACGCAAGUAUCAGGAUCACGCUGGAACGAAGAACUUGACCGGUCAUGCACCACAAAAUUAUUCAGACCCCCAGGACCCAGACAACUCUUACUAAAAUUUUGAAUGUUUUAAGAUUCAUCUACAGUAAUCGCUUAAUUAUAUAUA